GUGCAGCAGUCGAGAAUUUUUCUCAAUGGGGGCAACCCUGAAGGAGCGACGCCGCGUGGAGGAUGAAGGCUUUCGGGUUGUAAACUCCUGUCAUUUGGGAACAAGUUGGACGCAGUAACUACGCGUCCAUUGAUAGUACCAGAAGAGGAAGGGACGGCUAACUCUGUGCCAGCAGCCGCGGUAAUACAGAGGUCCCAAGCGUUGUUCGGAUUCAUUGGGCGUAAAGGGUGCGUAGGUGGCGCCGUAAGUGGGGUGUGAAAUUUCGGAGCUUAACUCCGAAACUGCAUUCCAUACUGCGGUGCUCGAGGACUGGAGAGGAGACUGGAAUUCAUGGUGUAGCAGUGAAAUGCGUAGAGAUCAUGAAGAAGACCAGUGGCGAAGGCGGGUCUCUGGACAGUUCCUGACACUGAGGCACGAAGGCCAGGGGAGCAAACGGGAUUAGAUACCCGCGUAGU
rnacentral:rRNA from 1 species